rnacentral:rRNA from 1 species
UACCUUUUGCAUCAUGGUUUAACUAGUAUAAAUCUAAUGAUUUACCCCGAAAUAUUAUGAGCUGACCCUGCGCUGUUUAGAACCUAACCUGUUUUGUUGUAAUAAGAUAGAAAGACGAGGGGUCAGCAGCUACAUACUAACCGCAUAAUAUUAUAGCUGGUUUCUACUAAAAGUUAUAUAAGUAACAGUAAUAAUACUAUUAACUUAAUACAUAGAGGAAAAUCUCUAUGUAACAAUCUAUAAUUCUUAAAAUUAAAAUUCAAAAGUAGGCCCGAAAAUAGCCACCUAACAUAAUGUUAUAAUUCAAUCUAGAAAAUAAUUUUCGUUUUAUGGCCUUUAAGUAGAAAUAAAUACAAUCUUAUUAUAUUUACCUAUUAUGUUAAAACUAGUAUUUUUCAACAAUAUAAUAUUGAUCUAAUAACAUAUAUUGCUAAGGAACUCGGCAAACCCUUAUUUCGACUGUUUACCAAAAACAUUGCCCUAUGUUAAUGUAUAUAGGGUAAUUCCUGCCCAGUGAUCUUUUCAACGGCCGCAGUACCCUGACUGUGCAAAGGUAGCAUAAUCAUUUGCCUUUUAAUUGAAGGCUAGUAUGAAGGGAUAAACGUAAAUAAUACUGUCUCUGCUUUACCUAUAUAAACUAGACCCUAGAUGAAAAUAUCUAGAUGAUAAUAAAGGACAAAAAGACCCUAUAGAGCUGCAUUUUUAAAAACUUAUAAAGUACAUUAUACUAUAUCUAUUUUUCUAAAAUUCUGUUGGGGCGACAAAGGAGUAUUUAAAUCCUCCUAUAUUCUCUAGACCUAUGAGUCUAUCAAAUGAUCCUAAAAAGAUCAAGAGAAAAAGCUACCUUAGGGAUAACAGGCUAAUCCUUUUAGAGAGUUCACAUUGACAAAAGGGAUUGGCACCUCGAUGUUGGCUUAAGAUACCCUUUAGGUGCAGAAGCCUAAGAAGGUUGGUUUGUUCAACCAUUAAAAUCUUACAUGAGCUGAGUUCAGACCGGCGAAAGCCAGGUUAGAUUCUAUCCUUAUUAUUAACAGUUACUAAGUAGUACGAAAGGACCC